rnacentral:tRNA from 1 species
GCCGGGGUAGCCAAGUGGACUACGGCGCGGGCCUGGAGAGCCCGUGGCCCUUACGGGCCGCGUGGGUUCGAAUCCCACCCCCGGCGCCA